rnacentral:rRNA from 1 species
GGUAGCCGACCUGAGAGGGUGACCGGCCACACUGGGACUGAGACACGGCCCAGACUCCUACGGGAGGCAGCAGUGGGGAAUAUUGCACAAUGGGCGGAAGCCUGAUGCAGCGACGCCGCGUGAGGGAUGAAGGCCUUCGGGUUGUAAACCUCUUUCAGCAGGGACGAAGCGUGAGUGACGGUACCUGCAGAANAAGCACCGGCUAACUACGUGCCAGCAGCCGCGGUAAUACGUAGGGUGCGAGCGUUGUCCGGAAUUACUGGGCGUAAAGAGUUCGUAGGCGGUUUGUCGCGUCGUUUGUGAAAACCCGGGGCUCAACUUCGGGCUUGCAGGCGAUACGGGCAGACUUGAGUGUUUCAGGGGAGACUGGGAAUUC